rnacentral:misc_RNA from 1 species
AGCCUGGCACUUACAGACUGGUAAUUGUUCAUCUAUGCUUUUCUACGAUCCUGUAUUUGUAACUGUUGUGAAUCUUUCAUUAAAAAAAAAAGGAACUGUUUAAAUCUCUGGAUUUAUCUUUGAUUUGUUGUUAGUGAUAAAAUUUUGUUUGUGUACAUGAAUUAAUGAAAAAAUGCAUGAGAUAAUAGAAAAUAGAGCUAAAACAUUCUGCCUUUUUGUUGUUACUUGAACAGGUAAGACCAUACCCAAGGCGUG